UACGUAGGGCGCAAGCGUUAUCCGGAAUUAUUGGGCGUAAAGAGCUCGUAGGCGGUGUGUCACGUCGGCCGUGAAAACCUGCAGCUUAACUGUGGGCGUGCGGUCGAUACGGGCAUCACUGGAGUUCGGCAGGGGAGACUGGAAUUCCUGGUGUAGCGGUGAAAUGCGCAGAUAUCAGGAGGAACACCGGUGGCGAAGGCGGGGUCUCUGGGCCGAUACUGACGCUGGAGGAGCGAAAGCCGUGGGGGAGCAAACAGG
rnacentral:rRNA from 1 species